AACGAACGCUGGCGGCAUGCCUAACACAUGCAAGUCGAACGAGACCUUCGGGUCUAGUGGCGCACGGGUGCGUAACGCGUGGGAAUCUACCCUCAGGUUCGGAAUAACUCAGAGAAAUUUGAGCUAAUACCGGAUGAUGACGUAAGUCCAAAGAUUUAUCGCCUGAGGAUGAGCCCGCGUAGGAUUAGGUAGUUGGUGAGGUAAAGGCUCACCAAGCCGACGAUCCUUUGCUGGUCUGAGAGGAUGAUCAGCCACACUGGGACUGAGACACGGCCCAGACUCCUACGGGAGGCAGCAGUGGGGAAUAUUGGACAAUGGGCGAAAGCCUGAUCCAGCAAUGCCGCGUGAGUGAUGAAGGCCUUAGGGUUGUAAAGCUCUUUUACCCGGGAUGAUAAUGACAGUACCGGGAGAAUAAGCUCCGGCUAACUCCGUG
rnacentral:rRNA from 1 species